rnacentral:rRNA from 1 species
UACGAAGGGGGCUAGCGUUGUUCGGAUUUACUGGGCGUAAAGCGCACGUAGGCGGAUCGUUAAGUCGGGGGUGAAAUCCUGGAGCUCAACUCCAGAACUGCCUUCGAUACUGGCGAUCUUGAGUCCGGAAGAGGUGAGUGGAACUCCUAGUGUAGAGGUGGAAUUCGUAGAUAUUCGGAAGAACACCAGUGGCGAAGGCGGCUUACUGGUCCGGUACUGACGCUGAGGUGCGAAAGCGUGGGGAGCAAACAGG